rnacentral:lncRNA from 1 species
CAAUGUACUGUCAGGGACAAGAGACAAAGAUAAGGAAGGAAGAGACUGGAAUGUGGCAAUUUAGAAGGUCAGAGUUGACCUUGGCAGAAGAAUCCUGAGUGUGGUUUCUGGGAAAAGAACAGAUUGCAGGAACUACAUACAGAGUGGGCAGAACUGCAAGUGGAAACAUCCUUCCAGGUGAGAAGAUCUAUCGUUUCUUCAUAGGGAGAAAACAAAAUAUCCUCUACACAGACAACCAUCCACUCCCCAUCUCCUAUGCAAAGAUCCAUGGUUGAUUGAAUCUGUCAAUUAAGAGCCCGAAUCGGCAGGGACUGUCAGCACUUCUCUUGGCCACCAGUAAUCAGGACCGUGGCUAAAUUAACAAAGAAGAAAUCUAGAACAAGACAGCACUGACUUCAGUUCUGGGCCUGGUGUCUGCAGUUUUUAUAACCUUGCCCUUGACAGUCAAAGGACAUCCCAUCUACACAAAAUCUUUCUCCUUGAGUCAAGAAGGAAGUGAGUCUGACAAUAACUCUUCCAAUUUACCAGAAGAGAAGCAUUUCCCAGAAACCACUGACACACCAGAGAAGGCAUCGGACCCCAUUACAGAUGGUUGUAAGUCACCAUGUGGUUGCUGGGAAUUGAACUCAGGGCCUGGAAGAGCAGUCAGUGCUCUUAACCACUGAGCCAUCUCUCCAGCCCCAGAAGAUGCUUUCUAGC